rnacentral:rRNA from 1 species
AUUGAACGCUAGCGGGAUGCCUUACACAUGCAAGUCGAACGGCAGCACGGACUUCGGUCUGGUGGCGAGUGGCGAACGGGUGAGUAAUGUAUCGGAACGUGCCCAGUAGCGGGGGAUAACUACGCGAAAGCGUAGCUAAUACCGCAUACGCCCUACAGGGGAAAGCAGGGGAUCGCAAGACCUUGCACUAUUGGAGCGGCCGAUAUCGGAUUAGCUAGUUGGUGGGGUAACGGCUCACCAAGGCGACGAUCCGUAGCUGGUUUGAGAGGACGACCAGCCACACUGGGACUGAGACACGGCCCAGACUCCUACGGGAGGCAGCAGUGGGGAAUUUUGGACAAUGGGGGAAACCCUGAUCCAGCCAUCCCGCGUGUGCGAUGAAGGCCUUCGGGUUGUAAAGCACUUUUGGCAGGAAAGAAACGUCGCGGGUUAAUACCCCGCGAAACUGACGGUACCUGCAGAAUAAGCACCGGCUAACUACGUG